UUUGAUUGAUGAUGGUGCACUACCCGUGCUAGUACAAUAUGCUAACAAUGAAGCCUCGCCACUCAGGCGGCAUAUUGAGCUUGCACUCUGCCACUUAGCACAACAUGAAGCAAAUGCUAAAGAUAUGAUUGGUGGAGGUGCCCUGUGGGAGCUAGUUCGAAUCUCACGUGACUGUUCACGUGAAGAUAUAAGGAGUCUCGCACACCGGACACUAACUUCCAACUCCACUUUCAUUGCUGAAUUAAGACAGUUGCGGAUAGAUUAUUAAAUCAAUUAUUUGAACUGUUGAAGAGGGAGGGACAGUACGGGAGAUGGGUGAGAUCAUCUUAUCACUAAAUCCAACUGGAAAGAUUGAUCAUUCUUCAAAAAAAAAAAAAAAACAAGCAGGAGUGCUUUGAUUAGUGUUCCUGUAGCAGUUUUGUCAUAUAAGGUGGGUUUUAGUCUCUGUACGUAAUUUUGAUCAUACACAGAAUCUCUGAUUUGUCAAUCAUAUUGUUGUCUUGCAGUCUCUAAGAAUAUAUACUCAUUAUUGACAGCACCAUUGUGUAGCUCCUAAUCAAUGUAUAAAUUGAUUUGUGUAUAUGAAUGGAAUAGUGGGGGAAAGAGUAUGAUCUAGUUAUAUUUCUUGUAAAGAAACACACUUGCUUUUAGCAUUGUAAUGUAAGCAGUAAUUUGUAUCAAA